UUUUCGUUUUUUAUUCGAUUUUAUUGAAAAACGUUCUGUAGAUGUAAAUUCACAAGUUAUUUUGAUUAUUUUACUCAUCCAUAGCAACGCCAUAGGGCAAAAAAGGUCGACAAACACCGCAAAAAGUAAGAAGUACAUUUGGAAACAAUUUAUAUCUUUUCGUGCGGAAAAACAUUAUAACAUGGAUCGAGAUACUCCAAUCUCGGAACUUGCAUCUAUUUUAAAAAGCUGGGUUUACAACAUGCGUUAACAAAAUGGAGAGGAAUACAAAGAACACACUGUUAAAACCAUCUGGAACGUCACAGCUAGUCUAUUGAUGGAGAAAUGUUUUAAGGGGUAUGGAACAAAAAUAAAUCCGUUUGAGCAAAUCGAAUUUAAAUCAGCGCGAGAUGCAAGAAAUGCAAAACGAAGAGAAUUACAAGGUUGUGAAAAUAAACUUGUAAUGAAGAAACCCCCGAAGGACUGCAGAAAAACGUAUUUCUUUCUCUUUCCUAUGAACUUGCUUGGAGAGGAGGCGAAGGCGCACGAGCACAAAUGGGCGUUUUUAAAGAAGAAUUGCACAUCAACGGGGAAAAACUGGCAGAAUUGAGUACAAUCCUGUAUUUGCAAAAACCACACAAGGAGGCGAUAAAAAAUUUGCCUAUCCCAAAUGGUUAGUCAAAAACAAUUGAAACGUCAGAUUUUGUCCUGUAAGGCUGUUUUUUAAAUUGAAAGAAAAACGAGGAGAAACAAAAUGCCAACGACUUUUUCUGACGGUCAAUCCACACUGGAAACAAACUGGACACUGGUA